rnacentral:rRNA from 1 species
GACGGAGGGUGCGAGCGUUAAUCGGAAUUACUGGGCGUAAAGCGCAUGUAGGCGGCCGAACAAGUCAGGUGUGAAAUCCUCGGGCUUAACCUGGGAAGUGCACUUGAUACUGUCCGGCUAGAGUUUGGCAGAGGAAAGUAGAAUUCCCGGUGUAGCGGUGAAAUGCGUAGAUAUCGGGAGGAAUACCAGUGGCGAAGGCGGCUUUCUGGGCCAAUACUGACGCUGAGGUGCGAAAGCGUGGGGAGCAAACAGG